UCCUGGAUAGCUCAGUCAGUCCAGCAUGAGACUCUUGAUCUCGGGCUUGUGGGUUUGAGCCCCAUGUUGGGCA